rnacentral:tRNA from 1 species
CGAAAUAGCUCAGUGGUAGAGUCUGUGCCUGCUAAGCAUGAGGUCCUGGGUUCAAUCCUCAGUACUUCCA